AGAGUUUGAUCCUGGCUCAGGACGAACGCUGGCGGCGUGCCUAACACAUGCAAGUCGAACGAAGUAUAUUUUUCGGAAUAUACUUAGUGGCGGACGGGUGAGUAACGCGUGAACAAUCUGCCCUAUACAAAGGAAUAGCCUCGGGAAACCGGGAUUAAAACCAUAUAACACUUUUCGGUCGCAUGACUGAGAAGUCAAAUUGAUUAAGAGGUAUAGGAUGAGUUCGCGUCUGAUUAGCUAGUUGGUGAGGUAAUGGCUCACCAAGGCGACGAUCAGUAGCCGGCCUGAGAGGGUGAACGGCCACACUGGAACUGAGACACGGUCCAGACUCCUACGGGAGGCAGCAGUGGGGAAUAUUGCACAAUGGGCGAAAGCCUGAUGCAGCGACGCCGCGUGAGUGAAGAAGGUCUUCGGAUCGUAAAACUCUGUCCUUGGGGAAGAUAAUGACGGUACCCAAGGAGGAAGCCCCGGCUAACUACGUGCCAGCAGCCGCGGUAAUACGUAGGGGGCGAGCGUUGUCCGGAUUUACUGGGCGUAAAGGGUGAGUAGGCGGUUAUUUAAGUCAGAUGUAAAAGGCUAUGGCUCAACUAUAGUAAGCAUUUGAAACUGGAUAACUUGAGUGCAGGAGAGGUAAGUGGAAUUCCUAGUGUAGCGGUGAAAUGCGUAGAUAUUAGGAGGAACACCAGUGGCGAAGGCGACUUACUGGACUGUAACUGACGCUGAGUCACGAAAGCGUGGGUAGCAAACAGGAUUAGAUACCCUGGUAGUCCACGCUGUAAACGAUGAGUGCUAGGUGUUGGCUAGCGAUAGUCAGUGCCGACGUAAACACAAUAAGCACUCCGCCUGGGGAGUACGGUCGCAAGACUGAAACUCAAAGGAAUUGACGG
rnacentral:rRNA from 1 species